rnacentral:rRNA from 1 species
GCUGCUUUGCUGACGAGUGGCGGACGGGUGAGUAAUGUCUGGGAAACUGCCUGAUGGAGGGGGAUAACUACUGGAAACGGUGGCUAAUACCGCAUAACGUCGCAAGACCAAAGAGGGGGACCUUCGGGCCUCUUGCCAUCAGAUGUGCCCAGAUGGGAUUAGCUUGUUGGUGAGGUAACGGCUCACCAAGGCGACGAUCCCUAGCUGGUCUGAGAGGAUGACCAGCCACACUGGAACUGAGACACGGUCCAGACUCCUACGGGAGGCAGCAGUGGGGAAUAUUGCACAAUGGGCGCAAGCCUGAUGCAGCCAUGCCGCGUGUAUGAAGAAGGCCUUCGGGUUGUAAAGUACUUUCAGCGGGGAGGAAGGUGUUGUGGUUAAUAACCGCAGCAAUUGACGUUACCCGCAGAAGAAGCACCGGCUAACUCCGUGCCAGCAGCCGCGGUAAUACGGAGGGUGCAAGCGUUAAUCGGAAUUACUGGGCGUAAAGCGCACGCAGGCGGUCUGUCAAGUCGGAUGUGAAAUCCCCGGGCUCAACCUGGGAACUGCAUUCGAAACUGGCAGGCUUGAGUCUUGUAGAGGGGGGUAGAAUUCCAGGUGUAGCGGUGAAAUGCGUAGAGAUCUGGAGGAAUACCGGUGGCGAAGGCGGCCCCCUGGACAAAGACUGACGCUCAGGUGCGAAAGCGUGGGGAGCAAACAGGAUUAGAUACCCUGGUAGUCCACGCCGUAAACGAUGUCUACUUGGAGGUUGUGCCCUUGAGGCGUGGCUUCCGGAGCUAACGCGUUAAGUAGACCGCCUGGGGAGUACGGCCGCAAGGUUAAAACUCAAAUGAAUUGACGGGGGCCCGCACAAGCGGUGGAGCAUGUGGUUUAAUUCGAUGCAACGCGAAGAACCUUACCUGGUCUUGACAUCCACAGAACAUUCCAGAGAUGGAUUGGUGCCUUCGGGAACUGUGAGACAGGUGCUGCAUGGCUGUCGUCAGCUCGUGUUGUGAAAUGUUGGGUUAAGUCCCGCAACGAGCGCAACCCUUAUCCUUUGUUGCCAGCGGUCCGGCCGGGAACUCAAAGGAGACUGCCAGUGAUAAACUGGAGGAAGGUGGGGAUGACGUCAAGUCAUCAUGGCCCUUACGACCAGGGCUACACACGUGCUACAAUGGCGCAUACAAAGAGAAGCGACCUCGCGAGAGCAAGCGGACCUCAUAAAGUGCGUCGUAGUCCGGAUUGGAGUCUGCAACUCGACUCCAUGAAGUCGGAAUCGCUAGUAAUCGUGGAUCAGAAUGCCACGGUGAAUACGUUCCCGGGCCUUGUACACACCGCCCGUCACACCAUGGGAGUGGGUUGCAAAAGAAGUAGGUAGCUUAACCUUCGGGAGGGCGCUUACCACUUUGUGAUUCAUGACUGGGGUGAAGUCGUAACAAGGUAACCGUAGGGGAACCUGCGGUUGGA